ACAAUGAAGAGUUUGAUCCUGGCUCAGGAUGAACGCUAGCGGCAGGCUUAACACAUGCAAGUCGAGGGGCAGCAUGAGACGGAGAUUCGUCGAAGUCUUGAUGGCGACCGGCGCAAGGGUGCGUAACGCGUGAGCAACUUGCCCGUUUCAGGGGGAUAACCGUUGGAAACGACGACUAAUACCCCAUAGUAUCGUGAAGAGGCAUCUCUUUAUGAUUAAAGAAUUUCGGAAACGGAUAGGCUCGCGUGACAUUAGCUAGAUGGCGGGGUAACGGCCCACCAUGGCGACGAUGUCUAGGGGUUCUGAGAGGAAGGUCCCCCACACUGGAUCGCCUUAAGUCAGUAAUACCUCCAGAAUACCAGUGUAAAAUAACAGUUCCAUCAAAACCAUCGAGCAUAUCAACUACUUUCUUUGAAGCAGACCGACUAUGAACACUUAAUAUUUUAUUAUUUCCAGAACACCACUCUAAUAUUUUUUCAAAUACUUCUGUUUGCUUCGAUACAUCUUCUUUUGAUUUUUUGGUAUAAUCCAAACCAAUUUCACCAAUAAAUCUAGUUUCACUUAGCAAUUCCUUAAACAAUAUUUGUUGGUUACUAUAUUGAUACACCAAUUCCGGAUGAAAGCCCAAAGCUAAUUGAAAAUACUUAUUUUCAACAUAUUGAUGCUUAUACUUUUCAAAGAGCUGCGGCAAAUUAGUUACUGCUAUGGUAUAAGACUCUUUUUGCUCAACAUAUCUUAAUAAUUCAUUUCUAUCAUCAUAUAAAUCAAAAUGCAUAUG
rnacentral:rRNA from 1 species